rnacentral:rRNA from 1 species
GAUGAACGCUGGCGGCGUGCCUAAUACAUGCAAGUCGAGCGAACAGACGAGGAGCUUGCUCCUUCGACGUUAGCGGCGGACGGGUGAGUAACACGUAGGUAACCUACCUAUAAGACUGGGAUAACUUCGGGAAACCGGAGCUAAUACCGGAUAAUAUUUCGAACCGCAUGGUUCGAUAGUGAAAGAUGGCUUUGCUAUCACUUAUAGAUGGACCUGCGCCGUUUUAGCUAGUUGGUAAGGUAACGGCUUACCAAGGCAACGAUGCGUAGCCGACCUGAGAGGGUGAUCGGCCACACUGGAACUGAGACACGGUCCAGACUCCUACGGGAGGCAGCAGUAGGGAAUCUUCCGCAAUGGGCGAAAGCCUGACGGAGCAACGCCGCGUGAGUGAUGAAGGUCUUCGGAUCGUAAAACUCUGUUAUUAGGGAAGAACAAACGUGUAAGUAACUGUGCACGUCUUGACGGUACCUAAUCAGAAAGCCACGGCUAACUACGUG